rnacentral:lncRNA from 1 species
CAAUUAGCAUUCAGUGACUUUACCUACAGCUCAAUUUCUAGAAAAGAAGGCAAAUGAACUAACUGGCGGAGACUGAUGGUUAAUGUGAGACUCGCAUCUGACCUCUCAGAAGCAGAAAGAUCCCUGAAGCGACAUUCAGCAACACAAACAAACACAUGACUGCAUGGUCAAACCGUCUCUCUUCGAGAUGUGGCGCUUUAAUCAAGAGAACAGCUGACGUCGAUGCGGCUUAACUGAUCAGAUAACAGCAGACCAAUGAGCGAUGACAGAUUUAAUAGUGAAAAUACGUUUAAUAGACUUAAAAUGUUGUGUAGUUUAAUUCACACACACACACACACACACACACACACACACACACACACACACACACACACGCACACACACACACACACACACACACACACACACACACACACAUAUAUAUUAUAAUACUAAAUUUUACUUACUACUAAAAAAAUCAUAGGCCUAAUUAAUAUUAAGAAUUCAUUAUAUAACAAAAACAACAAUAAUAGCCUAAUAAUAAUAAUAAUAAUUUUGUUGUUGUUAUUAAAAUAACGAAUACACGUGACGUUGUAACCCAUGGAAACUUACAUUAUUUAUUUAUUUAUUUACUUAAUGUGUAUUAAUACAAUUAGUAGGCUACUUCAUAAAAUGAAUUCAUUAUUAUUAUAAUAUCAUAUCACUCAGUUAUUUUACUCAUUUAUAAUUCUAUUAUAUAGUUAGUUGUGCCGUUGUUACACUACGUUUGCAGCGCUGUAGUUUUGUGAUUGUCAUUCCCAGACACUAGAGGGCGACACAGCGCUGCUCUUUCUAUUUUAAAAACAGAGGGAAGAAACGCGCAACAAAGUAGCGUCAAAUGACUUUGAACUUUGAGCACAUCAUCGAUAGCAUUUCUUCUUAGUUGUUUUUGUAAAUAAUGUAAAUGAUGAACCGGAAUAUGGCUAAUUUUAGCACUCUUAUCUCCGUGGUGUCAGGUGUAACUGUGCUGUAUCUCUUUUACACUUCUCACGUCUCGUUUAAAACUCACACAGUCUUUGACGCCCAGAAACAUUUGCCAGGUUCAGUUUACCUCAUGACCAGGUACAUUUAUCAAUCUCUCCGCAAGAAACGAGGAACAAUGAGGAAAAACAAAGACACAAGCGACGAGCUUGCUUUCACUUUGGUCAACUGCAGGUAUGAUGCGGUGUCUUUGAGGAGAUUCUGCAGUGUUUCGGGUUAUGGCUGGGACUAUCCUGACAGUGUCUUCAGAGACGUCCCCUUGUGCUACCCUGAGUUUCUCUUCACCAGACUUCUCACUAUGAUUGUGUGCUCCGAGAGAUUCAGACUCAGCCCUUUCGGUCUGAUGAGUGUCAGUGAGAGUGUGCGUCUGAGCGAUGCCUUGGAUGAGCUGAAGAGAGGGAUGUUCUCCCUGCAGGCCAGAGUGCUGGAGUACAGGACUGUUAGAGCUGGAGUGGAGGUGGAUCUCGCUUUGACUGCGUCUAGAGAUCAGCAGACCGUUUGGAGCAGCACACUGACUCUACUCUCUCCUAACAAUACACACAGACCUGAUGCUCAGCCUGGCCUAGAGAUCACCCAUGAUCCAGUCUCGGAGAGAUGCAUCACCCAGGCUGUUCCUUGGUCCUCAGGUGUGAGGAGGACCUGGGUGUUUGGUGACCUUUGCCCUCUGCCUGUGUUUGUUUGGCUGGGCUUUGCUCGUCCCUCCACCCACCCGCUGUGGAUGUUCUCCAGGUGCAUGGCAGAAAUGGAGAAACAUAAAGGAGUUGAAGUGGUGAGAGCUCCUCUGACUGUGUCAGUCUGUUACAAACAGCCUGUGUCUUUACCGAGGAAAGUCAACAUCAGAGUCAGUGAAAACACUAGUGUAACCUCAAGCACAGCGUCAUUUUCAUUGGAAGACCACAGAACCAGGACACUGUACCUCACAGGACAGAUAAAACCACAGACAAGCCAGAAAGCAGAAUGA